rnacentral:rRNA from 1 species
AGAGUUUGAUCAUGGCUCAGGAUGAACGCUAGCGGCAGGCUUAACACAUGCAAGUCGAGGGGUAGAAGUCUUCGGGCUUUGAGACCGGCGCACGGGUGCGUAACGCGUAUGCAAUCUACCUUUUACAGAGGGAUAGCCCAGAGAAAUUUGGAUUAAUACCUCAUAGUAUUAUAGAAUGGCAUCAUUUUAUAAUUAAAGUCACAACGGUAAAAGAUGAGCAUGCGUCCCAUUAGCUAGUUGGUAAGGUAACGGCUUACCAAGGCUACGAUGGGUAGGGGUCCUGAGAGGGAGAUCCCCCACACUGGUACUGAGACACGGACCAGACUCCUACGGGAGGCAGCAGUGAGGAAUAUUGGACAAUGGGCGCAAGCCUGAUCCAGCCAUGCCGCGUGCAGGAUGACGGUCCUAUGGAUUGUAAACUGCUUUUAUACGAGAAGAAACACUCCUUCGUGAAGGAGCUUGACGGUAUCGUAAGAAUAAGGAUCGGCUAACUCCGUGCCAGCAGCCGCGGUAA